CAGCAGAGCUUAAGAUCUGAGCUCCAUCACUCCCAGCAUUACUGUCUCAGCCGGAGGAGAGCCCCAAGGGGCGGCUGUUGUGAUACACCACGGGGAGCGCACACCUCACACCUCCAGAAACCUGGAAAUCCCACAAAGCACAGACUGUGAGCAGCAACACAUCAAGUGUAAGUGAGUCAUUCACACCCUGGGCACAAAUCUCACAGCAUUUAUCACAGUGGCAGCGUGCCUGCCAAUAACGGGGGCUGGAUCUCGCUAAACGUCUGUCAGGUUUGUUUGCAGCUCCUUUUCUCAAGGAAACACAUCCUGCUUUUUGCACCACGGGCCUGUGGGACUACAGAGCCAUUGAACAGUUGGGUUGGAAGGGAUUUUAAAGAUGGCAGAACCACAGGAUGGAUUGGGUUUGGGUUUCAGCAAUUCUUUGACACUGAUAAAUCCAGCGCUUGAAGCCUUCCAGCACCAUCCCCUUCAGGCUCAUGAACCAUCCCCUGAAUUACACAGCUGCUGUUUCCCAAAGCAGUUCACGUGAAGAAUAACUGCUGUUAAAUAGCUGGAAUAGCUGAAACCCAACACUGUGUACUUCUGCAUUAUCGCAGCACACAGCCCUUAUGCAGAAGCAAAGGAGUUCUAGGAAGGAGAGAGAAAAGAGAAAUGGAUGUUUGUCCUUCUCAGCUGUGUACCUCCAUGAUCCGCUCUGCAGACGGAGGUGGGUGCUGACCUGAAUGCAUUUUACGUGUGGGUAGGAAACAAAAGGAGCGGAUGGGUGAGAUGGAUGAGGGAGCAGAAUCCUCGCAGUGGUAAUUGAGGCUCUGCCCCGAUGCAUUGUGAUGUGCUGGGAGGUGCCUGGUAGGCGGCUCAGCUCUCGGCACGCGUCCUCUCCUUCUGUUUGUCUCUGAAGCACGUUCUGUGCUUUCCCUCUGUUCAGGGUUUCUCAAAAGCUGAAUAAAGAGAAGGAAACGUGAGGGCUGGGGGGGCUGCACGUGCGUUAAGACGCUCAGAGAUCAGCCAAGGACGGCUGUGCCUAUGGGAAAGGAGAGCGGCAAAAGCGACACGAAAAGGAACAGCAUUUAAAGCCGAUUUUCACCCAGAAUGCUUCCCUGAUUCUUUCUGACAACCCAGAAAUGGAUUUGCCCAAGAGGCAGCACCAUCCUCAUGGAAGGGAAUGGGCUUAAAUUUGUUUUCCAUGACAACACGGGGAAGUGCCAAGGAUCUGCAUCAGGAAUGGCACUAAGUCAACUCCAAGGAUGAAGUGAGGACAUGGCAGCAUCCAUCUCAACCCUAGAAUCCUAGAAUGGUUAGGAUGGAAGGGUACUUCAAGAUCACAGAAUCCCAGCACAGUUGAAUGGAAAGGGACCUCAAAGCCCCCUCGCCACACUUCUUUCAUGGGCUGGGUCUCCCCCACCAGUUUAGGCCACCCAGACCCCAUUCAUGACCAUGGGCAGCUCCACGGAUGGAGCACCCACACUGCUCAGGUUCAGUCCAGAAUCCCCACGGGAUGAGAAGCUCAGUGCUCAGCCUCAGGUCUGCCCAGGCCUGGCAGCUGUCUGCACCCACUCAGCAUUGCCACUGGGUGAUCUGAGGUAGGAUAACCCCAAACCUCACCCCUAAACCAUGCGAUGAAUCAGCCUUAGUGCUGCUGCCCACAGCUCCAGUCCUUCCCCAUGCAAGGUCUUUGUAGGCAUGGUGGGGAUGGGUUGGCAUUUGGACUUGAUGACUCCAACCCUUAUGAUUCUAUGAAUUAAAGAUCCCAAAUACAGCUUGUCACCUCCCAUAGGAGCAGCUGCUCUUUGCAAUCCCCACACCAGCAGCUAACAUCUCCCCACAGAAAGGUGAGGCAACAAGAAUGUGACGGGGAAGCCACAUCACGAGGAACGUCGGAUCAAAAUGCUUUGCAUGUUCAGACAGCCCAGUGACUCAUCUGUGGUCAUUUUGUGCUGCAUCUGCUGCGGAGAAACCAGAAAACGUUUCAGUUGAUUUAUAUGAUGAAUAAGUCAAGGAAAAACGAGAUGCCAAGUACUGAAAGUGCUUUGCUGUUGAUCAGAUCCCCUCUCUCAGCCUUCUCUCCUCCACAUGCACAGCCCUGGAGCUCUCAGCCUGUCCCUAUCAGGAGGUGCUCCAGGCCCCCACUAUCUCUCCACUGGGCUCUCCCAGCUGUUCCCUGUCUAGAACUGGUGAGCUCAGCACUGGGUCUUUCUGGUCAUGCUCUGUGCAAUGCACCCCAAGGUCCCAUUGGCCUUCCUGGUUCAUGGUCAACCUUGGGUCAACCUAUUGGCUACCAGGACCCACAUGAGCUGGGUUGAAAUAAAGCACUGGGAGGUUUAUCCAGUGGAUUCCUGGUCCAUCUCUAUCUCGUGGUUGCAAGAUGUCUCCAAACAGUGGAGAUGAAACAUCCACAGAGAAGAGAGAAGUGAUAUCGCCCCACUGGAUAAGAGGAAGACACUGACCAAGAUCAUCUCCAUAUCACAAGACAGCCAAGCAAAGCCUCUUCCUCCUCACUUACUUCUCUGUUUCUCAAAGUCUCCUCCUAUGUAGAGCCACACAGAGAAAUCCCACACCAGGUCUCCUAGAAGGUCCCUUCCAAUGGAUAUUCCACGUUUCUAAGACUCCACAAAGCACUAAACAAGAAAGUGAGCCACGUUCACCACCUCAAACCUUCUUCUUCCACACUCCAGACUGGAAUAUCCUGGGGAGAACCCUUGUGCUGCUCCAGCACACGAGGGCUGCAAGGAAUGCAACAAGAGGAACCUGAUUUUAAUGACAAUGGUUGCCAGGGUUACCUUAAUUCCAUCGCAGCUCCCAUAGUCUCCCAACUCCAACUCCACACCACUAAUCAGGAGCCUUGCAUAACAUUAGUGCUGAAUAACCCAAUUUAAACCGAGUGAAAGGCCUGGAUUGUUGCAGGGGUUGUUGACGCAAAAAGGGGGGGGGAAAAAAAGAAAGCAAAACACAAACCUGUUUUGUUCUGGGAAGCUCUUCUGUGUCUGUCACCCUCAUCCUUCCCAAAGCUUUGGGUGAGCCAAAGCCAGAGCGGAGCCGAAACGAAAUGCAUUGCUUCGUUAGGACAAAUAUGGUUCCCUGUAUUUCCUUCUGAAGGAAAAUAAAGCACGGCGACAUGCCUUCAGCUCCCUGCAUCGGGUUCUUCAGCACAAAACCCCAUUUCCUACUACACCUUUUGAUCAGCAAAGCUGAGGAGUGAGGGCUGCGUUCCACCACCUGCAAAUCGCCUUCAAUUAGCACCAGGUAGGAGAAGUGAGGGAGCAUUUCCACGCUGAUAGCCCACACUUGGCUGGGUUGAGGCAGGACACCACUCUAGAAAGAAGACAGAGUUCCCCUCCCACAACUCUUGUAUUGAAGCCGAAUUUGUUCUGCUUGCAUUGUGCUCAUCUGUGCAUUGUUGGAAUGCAUUACAAAGCCAGACAGGGAGCACAGUGCUCUUCA